UGCGUAGGCGGCCUGGUAAGUCAGAGGUGAAAUCCUACAGCUUAACUGUAGAACUGCCUUUGAAACUGUCAGGCUCGAAUAGAGUUGGGGUUAGCGGAAUGUGACAUGUAGCGGUGAAAUGCAUAGAUAUGUCAUAGAACACCAAUUGCGAAGGCAGCUAACUGGGCUUUUAUUGACGCUGAGGCACGAAAGCGUGGGGAGCGAACAGGAUUAGAUACCCUGGUAGUCC
rnacentral:rRNA from 1 species